rnacentral:lncRNA from 1 species
AAUGCCUUGUUAUAUUUGAUUAAUUCAUUUCCUUCUUAUUGUUUGACUAAGUAAAUUUAGUUAGUUCUUGAUUGGUGAAGUCUUGUACUUGCUAAAUUCAAGUGAACAAGUGUCCCAAGCUUAAGGUGCUAUACUCAGUAAUCUAAGAAAAGUAUGGAACACUUAUUAUAUUUCAUCUUGUAUGCUUUAGAUCUUUAAUUGUUGAGGAUGUAAAUUCUAUGGAACUUUAUGUUGUGUGAUAAGUGUUCUACUUGUGUGAUUGAAUAGAAAUGUGAUGAUUUAUUAGUUGGUGUGUUACAAUAAGUUAAUUUGGGAAAGAAGUUUAGGAAACUAGUUAAGCUACUCAUAUCUUUAAUCUAAGUCUUAGGUGACUAUCACUAAUGAACCUAAGUUCUAGUAAUCCUUUGAGAUGUACUGCUUUCUUGAUGCUUGUUCUAUCACCUUUUCCAAGUUUUGAGUGUUAAAAAGUGACAAGUCUAAGGUUAAUAACCUAUUAAUGUUAUGCUUUAGCUUAAGGCUUAUGUUUAGUUAUGAUUUCCAAAUAUUUGAAUUAGGUCCCCCUAGCUCGAGGAUCAUGAUUGUUGUUAAUUCAAAGGUAGCUAGUGUUUGCCUAGGAGUUGUAAUGCCUUACUAGCAAUAUAUUACCCUCUUCGGCAUAAUGUUAUUAUCUUGUAUUGUUUAUAAUUAUUCUCACUCAUAUGCAUUAUGCAUAUCAAUCAGGUACGUUAAUUGAUCGCACGAUGUGGAGGAAAAGUGUUGGAUGAACCUCAAAGUGAUGCUGACGAAUAAACCAGAGGAAUGGAUGAUCUGAUCAAGCGCCAGGAUGUGAGAUGAUCGCCACGUGGACAUCAUCUAACAACACUAACGUAGUGUUAUCCCAGGCAAGCCCCGGUGCAUUUGCCACCCCCUUGUUGUUAUAAAACUUUUAUCACUUAUAUGUUGCAUUAGGUGAUAGGAGUUGUGUGAAUAAACAAUUGAUGCAUUACCAUUCCUUGGAAUUUGAUUACUAUUCCUUGAUUCCUGUUUAUAAAAGAGAACUAAAGAUGCUUAGUCCUGCUUAGAUAAUUAAAAAUUGUUCUUUUUUAAAAAAGAUAAUGUGUUACACGGGAUAUGGGAAAUUGUUGUGAAAAAGAAAUUGGGAUGGUGAAUCCAUAUGGCCAUGAUGGAUUCAACAUCCAGAAAAAGUACCUCUGUCAGGUACCAAAGAUUGGGAAAUGGUUUAACUAAAAUGAGACCAGACGUUGAGCAGGAAAGGUCGCCCGUCUGUGUCGAUUAAGGACCGUUCCGAUUGUUGGCCUGCUGAUCUAGGACCCUUUAACUGGCCACAUGCCUCAUCAUGGGUAAGCUUAGCCUCGGUCGGACCAAUACCAGAACAGCUCGCACGCACUGGGAGUGGAGAGAUGGCGAGAGUAGCUUGUACCCUCCGUGGCAAGAGACUGGAAGGUGGGGUGCUGUACUCUCGGAAACAUGGCGGGUACCAUGGCGAGAGUAACGUGUACCAACCAGGCCAACGACUGGAAGGUGGGGUGUUGUACUCUCGGAAACAUGGCGGGCACCAUGGUGAGAGUAACGUGUACCAACCAGGCCAAUGGCUGGACGGUGGAGUGCUGUGCUCUCGGGUCGCGUGAACCCGUUCUGGUCUUGAGAAACCCGGUGGCGAGUUGACAUAUGCAAGGGUUAAGUGCUACAUAUGUCGUGUGGUUGGAGAUCCUCAGCUGAGUAUUAAUCGAUUCGGAUCGCCGUUACUUCUCGGAUAUGAAGACUGGAUCACUGCCCUGCAUCGUAGAUAACAAGUGAAACUAAAGUUGCUAAAAGGAAGCUAGUGUAGGAUAAGUGAAUGCUCUAGAUUAGGCAAAUCUAGAUUCAGGAAAAGUACUUAAUCUGUGAAGUAAAAGUUUGGCAUAAGGAUCCACUACUAGUAAGCUUUUCUGCAAAAACGAGUCUUUGAAAUUUGAUGAACUUUACCUUGAUUCCCAACAAACCAGCAUACCCUUGAGAGUCUUUUCUUUAGUCGGGUAAGUCUUGCUGAGUAAUUCCAUACUCAGGGUUUUAUUCCCUGUUGUUUUUCAGGUUAUAAUUUUGUUCUGUUGUGGAUGGUGCUAAGUGCCGGUGGGCUCGGUCUUCUUAUAUAAGUAUAUCCCAUCUUUAGCUUCUCUAUCGAGGAUUGUCUCUUAAGCUAGCAUGUAUCUUCAAAUUUACAAAUAUUUUAUAACAUUUCAAAUUUGUAAUUCUUUUGAAUCAUUUUCUCUUGUAAUCACUCCGAUAAUUGUAUAAUGUAAAAUUAUUGUAACAUGUAAUCAUUUUGUAAUAAAGAAUUUAUUUCCGCUGCAAGUGUUUGUAUGUGAGUUGUGUUUACUUAAUCCUGCGAUCUUGGCGGUAAUUCGUUUAUCCGGGGUCCUCGGGGCACUCGGACAGAUCCUGUUAAGUUGUUUGGUGCACAUGCAUAGCCGUCUGAGGUCGUUGAGACAAGGACAGGUGCAUGUGGGCCCGAUAACUUGGGAGGUUCUGCGACAGCUGGUAUCGGAGCUUGAUUAAGUAUGAUACGGCCACAUACGUAUUUUCAAAACAAAAGUUUUGGUUUUAGAAAAUCUAUUUUCAACUAAACACAUUGUUUGGUUUUGAAAAACUGAUUUGAAAAACUAUAAUGCUAGCGACAUCCUCUAUUAAGCCCUAGGUUAAGGACUAUCAGGUGGCUUAUUUAAAAACCACUAACCCACAACCGGGGGUAAUGCAUACAUGUGUAAUGUUAUUUUUAAGACCAUUCAGUUUUGAAUGGAUCGACGCUCAAGGUAAGGUGAGAUGUGAGAGCGUGACCGAACAACCGUCGGUCUAGGGAAGAGCAUAAAAAGUGCUUGAUACAUGUUACACAUAUGUAUAUAUGAAGGCUGCGAUGUGGAGUAUUUACUUUUCCGGGAUUCAGUACCCCAUGAGUGUGUAUGGGUAUACAUACAUGGGAAUACUGAGAAGUGUAAUGUAUUUGCAACGACGCACCUACGCUCAGGUAAGAAGGUGAGUUACCAUAAUGAGCUGCCCUAUGGUUAAAGUGUGGCAGCGGCGCCUAUGCGUGGCUCGACGCUUAAUGAGGAGCUGGCCUCCAUAUAGCAAUAUAUGGAGUAUAAACUGUGAUAACUGGCAUGUAUGAAUUGCAUCAUUGGGAAUUGGGCUGUGAUGGAAUUUUCUGCAGGUACACUAACUUCGAACUCGUAUGUGUAGCUGACGACUAGCAACAUAUCGAGAGAGAACGUAGAUAUGCCACCGAUAUAGAACGCUAUUGCCACAUUAUGUUGGCGAAAUUUGUGAGGACGAAUAGGACGAGCAUGCAUCCUGAUUGUUGCAUUGUGUUUGUUGUUUGCGCACAAAAAUGCUUCCCUCACCUUUAUUCUAAUAAUUGGUGAUUGUGAACGAACAUGCUUUUCUCGUCUUUAUUCCGAUAAUAAAUAAUUGGAAAAUGUGUGAAGUAUUACUGUUCUAUAAGAAAUUUCUAGCUUUGUUUGAUGUGUUCUUUAGACAUGUGUUUAUGUGGUCUGUGGUUCUUCUUAGUUUGACCGAUAGUGCAACUUAUGUUUAUUUUUGUGCCUGUGUGCCGGUAGAAUGUUGAUAGCUUGUUUGCGUAAACCCAAAGCUAAGCUAUGUCCUUGUUUAGUAAACUUGAUCUAAACGUGUAUUAAUUUCUUGACAACUUAUCCUAGGUGUCGUCUUGUGUGAAGAUCAUUUUCUUCACAAGGUCAUUGGAGUUCUAGCAAUUAGAUCAAGUCAUGUCCUCAUCAUCUCAAUAUUUGAAAUUGUAUGAGAUCUAAUUCAUAAUUUUGUUCUUCAAAGUCCCUCUAAAUCUUCAAAAUAUGCAUGAGUUUGAAUUAUCGAUUCCUACUCCAUGGCCAAACUCAUGCAAAUACAAAUAGAUGUUUAGGUAAUUCCCUUAUUGGACCUAAGAUGCACUCAAACUUAAAAAUAAGGAUCUCGGGUCUGUGAUCUUGACAAUUCACUUGUAGCUCUCUUAUGGUCAUAUUUUCAUCCUAAACUAUACCCUUGUUUGGUUGGUGCAAGCUGAUGUUUCUAUUCUGCUUUGCCUCUCCAUGAGAAUCACAUUGUUGCUUUCUCAAUCUAACCUAGGAAAGGAAUGCCCAAUAGUUUUCUUGAAUUUAAUGCCUUUGGUUUUCUCAUAUCUCUCGAAGGCAUACCAACUUAAUCUUAUGAUUGUUUUCCCUCUGUAUCUAAUCAGAUACUAAUCAUUAACCUUGUAAUCUUUGCGAUGGGCAUAGAAAUAUGCUUGGGGCUGAAUUAACAGUCUCUCAUCGUACUCCCUUCAUCAACCGAUUUAGGUCUUGACCAUGUCUUGUUCGUUUCAUCGGUCCAUGAUCUAUUUGGCUCUCUACUUGUAACCAUUCUUAAUGGAGUCUAUUUUGUAUAUUGUCAUCCUGGCUCAGUCUAUUUGUGCCGCGUGAGAUUUCUUAUUGGUUACGUCUGGUAAUGGCGUUAUGACUAAAAUUGAUGGUGCCGCAACGAAACCGAGGGCCUCCUGUGGGUGAUCAGCACAUGGUUGCGCUACUUGGCACGAGCUGGUAUCACAGUUAGUAGUUGUAAUCUAUUAUUAGACUAUAUCGAUAUGUCAUCUCUGCAUACUUUUGUUCUUACGCCGUGAGAUUCAUUAUUGGUGCGACUUCGGUAAUGGUGUCACGAUUAAUGAUUUUUGGUGCCGCGGCGAAACUGAGAGCCCCUUGUGAAUGUACCCGCAAGGUUAUGCUGCUUGGCGCAUGCUGGUAUCGAGGUCUUUGGUCAUGAUCCAUUGUGGAACUACACUGAUGUGUGAUCUUCCGUGGACUCCUCCCUUGAAACGAUUUUUGUGUUGUUUUCUACAACAAUCAAGCAACAUAUGCCAUCACUUUUGGAUCAAAAGAGUAUAUAACUCUAAUGUAUUCCUUGGUAAAUUUUCUACCCAUUCAGAAAUCUCCAACAAAAAUCAAAACCUAUUUGUGUCUAACUGUGUGUUAAAAAAAAAUUCACCCCUUUCAUAUGUGGUCUCUUUUCUCUUGAUUUUGGUGGUGACUACACAUACAAGUUCCCUUUACGUCCUUUGUGUAAAGGUGAAGCCUUGAAGCUUUUUAGUGUUGAAAGACAGCUGAUUAGUUUUCAAAAUGGGGAAUCGAUUUUCCCUGCUGCUGAGAUGUAGAAGUCUGUUCAUCCACUCUCUUAUUUAAUCCAUGUAUUCCCAAACCAUGUCAUUUCAUCUCACAUGAAGAAACAGAUGAACAACAUGACCAAAUGGAUUUCUACCCAAAUGCGUGAUCUCUUGUUUAGGAAUGUGAUAUUGGAUUCAUCCCAAAGUAGUUGUAUGCUAUCGCUGAUAUGGACAAGGGUCACAUGCUUCUCUACUCUUAAAAGUCUUUCGUUCCGAAUCUCGGGACGAGAUUCUUUUAAGGGGGGAGGGUUGUAACACCCCAGGUGUUUAUCGUCUGCUCGACCACGAGUGCGGACUUUAACAUGUGAUAGCGGUGAAUAAAAUGGACACUAAAUUUUAAUUAUCUUCGUCGAUCACGAUUUCGAUAUCGUGUCUGUCUCCAUCUAUUUAAAUUGUCCUAAAUUAUUUCGCAAAAAUUCAGACUUCAGUAAUUUUCGGAACAUCGAAUCCAGUAUCGUUUGGGUUAAGCCAUCAACGUCUUGCCCAAACUUUAAUUCUGGAAAUCGGAUCUAGUUUCUUAAACUGCAUUUGAAAUCCUUUCACGCUUAUGUUGCCCGUGUCUCUCUGUGGCCUGGCAUCGUGGCGCGUGGCUGGUGUUAACCGGUGUCUGGACAGCGCACAGCCUCUCGCCCACGUGAACGUUGCGUGAGGUCGAUUCCGAAAGGGAUCACAAUUUCGAUGCUUAUCGAUCUCACAUAUUUAUUUCGCGAGAUGUUGAGUCUAUGCUUGUUGGGGACCUUCGGCGUCCGAAGGUCCUCAAAAACAGGAUUUAACAGUAUUUCUGUAGUACAAUGUGUGAACAGGUGCCCUCGGACUAAAGUCGGCGUUGCUGUAAACCGGAAUAAUACGAAGGUUGAUACAGAGCCGAAGGUGUGAGCAGGAAAGCUUUGGCGUGACAGCAAAGAGUGGAACCGACUUAAAGAUAAAAAGGCUAUUCAGACCUCGGUAGACUACUAUAGAAUUAUUAUCAAAUGUAAAGGGCAUGAAUGUAAUUUUGUAAGGGCUGUGUCCUGUGCCUAUAAAUAGGUGAACAGUGUCCCUGUACUGUUCACGCUGACUUGGCAUUCGCUUUUUGCGUCAUACUUGUAUUGUCAUUUCCUUCCGAUUGAAGGUACGCUUGUGAUUCAAUAAUAUUUUUAUUUAUGCUCAAUAAUAAAUGAUUGUUCAUGUUUUCCUUUAUAUUAUAUUUUAUCACCUUCGUCAUUGUCUGAUGAGUUUAUGAAGGUAUGUCCUUCAUAACCUUCGUUCGCAAGUCAUUACAUCCUAAGGGAAAUAAUGCUUCGGAGGACGAAGGACAUUGACGAUUAACAUUUUCUAUGUUGCCUUGUUCUUAACUCUUGAAGUGCUUGAGAACAAGUCCCCAACAACGCUAUUCGGAUAUCAUGUGAUCUUCGUCCGAACUCAACUGGGUCGAAAAUAUAUUAUAAAUAUUAGAGCCAAAGUCGUCGUUCGAUCUGAGUGCAUAUCACCCUGGUCCAAACGUUCGGGUAUAAAUAGUUGGUAAAAUUUAUCUGUUUCUGGGCGCGUCUACCAAAUCGAGCGGUCCAAAUUUAUGUUAUCGGUCUCAUUUAAUUCAACAUAUUUAUACAUCAUUUAGAAUUGAAUUUCAGAACCUAGAAUAUCUAUGUUUACUUUUGUUAAGAAUGAAAUAAGAGAAAAAUCUCUUCACUUUUCCUUCCACCGCUCUUCCCUAUACUUUAUCCACGCUCUUCAAUUGUUCUAGCCAACGUCUUUUGUUUUCCCUGAAGUCAUUGACAGCACUCACAUCUUUCCAUUAACCUCACACCUAUUUAAUUCCCUAGAAAUCACCGUCGUUCUUAUCCCUGGGAAAAUCAUCGACACGAGCGCUCUCUGGAAUCCUCUCCUUGAUUCCCCGUCGUUCCUACCAGUGCACAUACUCAGCUUUCUGGAAUGGUCUCGUUUGUCUGCUAUCUCCUUAUCCACGCUGCCCCAUUAUCUCCCUGAAGCUGCCAACGUCGUUUCUCUCUCCCUCAUCCUCACAGAGCUGCCUCUCCCUUCCUAUCGGUCACAUGCGUGCAUACUCCUCUGGCCGCCGAGCACCGAGCUCACACCGGCCACUACCUCAGGCCACCAUGCCGCUUGCCCCAGCCCCAUCUCUGCAGCUCGCCCGAGCUCCCUGCGCGCUCCGCUUCCUGUUCCUGGCGCCGGAUCCCCUCCCACACGCGUCCUCUUCUCCGCCUGGCAUCCAUGGAGUCGUCGGCCAUCUCCCCUGCGUCGAGCGCCCUCUUCUCCCUGGUGCUCGCCCCUCCUUAGGUCCGCGCUCGCCCAGCUCGCGCCCACUCCUAGCUCGGUCUCCACCUCCGUUUCCUCUCCCUGUCCGACCAAGCACACCUCGUCGUCGAUUUCCUUCACUGGACCGCGCCCUGCUCGGUUUCCUGCAGCACAUGUCCAGCCCAUGCUCCCAAGGUUAUGGAGCAGCAACAACUAUGAAACCCUCUUCAUGUCGCGCCCUCGAUGUGCUUGAUGAAAUACCGCAGCGAGCUCCACCUCGAUCUAUGCCGACCCGAUCACCACUUCGUCGAACCCCGGUGAGAACUCGUUGUUUUUCUUGUGUUUAUUCCUCGCUAGUACAUGUACUCGGCGUAGAUUAAGUAGAGGCUAACCAUGUGUAUGUUUGUGUAUGCUUGUGAGGAGAGAAACCCCUAGGUUCUGACGGUGAAGAACCGAAGCCCGUGUGACGAUUAGUAAGUGUUCGGUAGAAGGACCGAACCCAAAACCUUCGCUGUGUUCGCGGACGUCGCUUCGAGUUUAGUCAUGGUAAGUCGAUCCGUUGUAUCCGUUAAUCGAAUAAAUGGUUGAUUUGUAUGGAGUCGAUAUUUGUGCUAAAUGAAAUGUGCAUAGUGUCAAGAAAACGGUUCUCCGUUGUGACAUGAUUUUUAGAUUUGGAUUGCAAAUUAUGUGAAAUGAAUGGAUUCACGAUUUUGAAGUAGUCGAGUCAUGCGUUAAGGUUUAGUUCUUAUGUGCAAAUUAUGCAAUGUGUCAUGGUAGAAAUAUAUGCAAGGUGUGGUUAAGUUAAAUAGGAACUAAGCUGGAAUUUUUGCUGUUUUGAGCUGCAAGUAUAGUUUUAGUUAUGCAGCAAAUUUAGUGAAGCAAAUCAUGUUUUCUGUGAAAGUGUUAUAUAUAAAGAUUGUAGUAAACUUCUUUAUCUAGCUUGUGUUAAAAUUUCAAGACCAUAGGCCCAAUAAUCUGAAAGUUAUGCUUCUCCUAAGUUCAGUUUCAGAAUCUGUCCAGAUUCUGUACAGAUUUCGAAAAUGACCUUGUUUGUCCAAGUAAAACUUCGAAUCAGUUCUUAUAAAUUAUAAAGAAGUUGUAGUACUUUUAUUAAGCUUUCCAACAAGUUUUGAAUCACCCUUUUUGGUGAUCUAAAAGUUGAGUUACAGCUGUUUGAAUUGUGAUGUCCAAACCUGUCCAAAUCUGGACAGAGAAGUUUGUUUGUAUUAGCUGACUUUGAUCCACAUUGAAUCAACCUGAAAUGUUUAUAAAGGAUUUGUAGAUAAUUUUAUAAGCUUUCUAGAAAGUCUAAGAUCACCUGUUUUGGAUGCCUAAAUCUCCAGUUAUGGAGUUUUGAAGUGGAUAAUCGAAUUCUGUCCAAAUCUGGACAGGAAUUGCGUUUAGUACUGUUUGACAUUUUUAAAUGUCGAAUAUCAUUGUGAUGAUAAUACCAAAAUUUUAGAGGACUUUAUAAGCUUUCCAAAAAGUCUUAGUUUACUAUUUUUGGAUGAAUAUUGUGUAAGUUAUGAAUAAAACAACUAGCUGCUGUUUUGCUGUUCAAAAUCAGCAAGCAUUAAGUGGAUUUCUUGAAGUUGCUCUUGUUUGGCUAGGUCAUUUUUUUACCCUUGAUUGAUGACAACUUGUUGCAUAUGAAGUGUUUAUCGAAAUGCCUUGUUAUAUUUGAUUAAUUCAUUUCCUUCUUAUUGUUUGACUAAGUAAAUUUAGUUAGUUCUUGAUUGGUGAAGUCUUGUACUUGCUAAAUUCAAGUGAACAAGUGUCCCAAGCUUAAGGUGCUAUACUCAGUAAUCUAAGAAAAGUAUGGAACACUUAUUAUAUUUCGUCUUGUAUGCUUUAGAUCUUUAAUUGUUGAGGAUGUAAAUUCUAUGGAACUUUAUGUUGUGUGAUAAGUGUUCUACUUGUGUGAUUGAAUAGAAAUGUGAUGAUUUAUUAGUUGGUGUGUUACAAUAAGUUAAUUUGGGAAAGAAGUUUAGGAAACUAGUUAAGCUACUCAUAUCUUUAAUCUAAGUCUUAGGUGACUAUCACUAAUGAACCUAAGUUCUAGUAAUCCUUUGAGAUGUACUGCUUUCUUGAUGCUUGUUCUAUCACCUUUUCCAAGUUUUGAGUGUUAAAAAGUGACAAGUCUAAGGUUAAUAACCUAUUAAUGUUAUUGUCGGCGUUUCGAGACAGGGGGGUCCCUAAGCCGACGAGUGAGUGUGCUGCGUGCCCCAGCCCAGAUGGGUCGAGCGCGUGGGCGAGCGCGGAGGGGGGAGAGGCGAGGCGGCCGGAGCCGAGCGUGAGAGAGGUGGAAGUCCCGCGGCCUUCAUGUUCGUCCCGCGCCCAGGUCAGGUGCGCUUGCAGUAGGGGGGUUACAAGCGUCCACGCGGGUGAGGGAAGCGAGCGGCCCCAAGAGAGCGCCUGUCCCGUCCUCGGUCCCGCGCGGCCAACCUUUUCUGAGAAGGCCCUGGUCCUUCCUUUUAUAGUCGUAAGGAGAGGAUCCAGGUGUACAAUGGGGAUGUAGCAGAGUGCUACGUGUCUAGCGGAGGGAGAGCUAGCGCCCUAGGUACAUGCCAAUGUGGCAGCCGGAGAGAUCUGGGCACCCUGCUGGCGUGAUGUCGUGGCUGUUGGAGGUGCGGCGGAGCCUGAUGGAGGGACAGCUGUUGGAGCGGUCGAGUCCCUGCUGACGUUGUCCUGCUUCCGUAAGAGAGCUAGGGGCCGCCGUCGUCAUAGAGCUUGUGGAGCGCCAUCAUUGCCUCUCUGGCGGAGCUGGCCGGAUGAGACGCCGGUCUUGUUCUCCGUGACCCGAGUCGAUUCGGGGUGGGAUGAUGAUGGCGCCUCCUGUUGACGUGGCGGUCUGUGCCCUAGGCAGGGCGACGUGGGGUUUCCUCCGAAGCCAAGGUUGAGUCUGCCUUCCGUUGCCGUGGCCGAGCCCGAGCCAAGGGGUCGGUCGAGGCGGAAGUCGUUCGGCCGAGGCCAGGGCGGAGUCCGAGCCCUGGGGUCGGGCGAGGCGGAGUUUCGUCGUCUUCCGGGUCUUAGCCCGAGUCCGAGCCCUGGGGUCGGGCGGAGCGGAGUUCGCCGUCUUCCGGGUCUUAGCCUGAGUCCGAGCCCUGGGGUCGGGCGGAGCGGAGUUCGCCGUCUUCCGGGUCUUAGCCCGAGUCCGAGCCCUGGGGUCGGGCGGAGCGGAGUUCGCCGUCUUCCGGGUCUUAGCCCAAGUCCGAGCCCUGGGGUCGGGCGGAGCGGAGUUCGCCGUCUUCCGGGUCUUAGCCCGAGUCCGAGCCCUGGGGUCGGGCGGAGCGGAGUUCGCCGUCUUCCGGGUCUUAGCCCGAGUCCGAGCCCUGGGGUCGGGCGGAGCGGAGUUCGCCGUCUUCCGGGUCUUAGCCCGAGUCCGAGCCCUGGGGUCGGGCGGAGCGGAGUUCGCCGUGGCGCCUUUGGCGAGGCCUGACUGCCUGUCAGACUUACUCUGCCGAGUGGCGCUGCAGUCGGAGUGGCGCAGGCGACGCUGUCCUUCUGUCAGACUGGCCAGUGGAGCGGUGGAGUGACGGCGGUCACCUCGGCUCUGCCGGAGGCGCGUGUCAGGAUAGAGGUGUCAGGCCUCCUGUGCGUUAAAUACCCCUGCAAUUUGGUCAGUCGGUGUGGUGAUUUAGUCAAGGUUGCUUCUGAGCGAAGCCAAGGCCUUGGGCGAGCCGGUGAUGUGUCCGCCAUAAAAAGGGGGCCUCGGGCGAGACGGAAGUCUCUCGAGGUCGGCUGCCUUCGGCCGAGGCUAGGCUCGGGUGAAGCGUGAUCGAGUCACUCAUGUGGACUGAUCCCUGACUUAAUCAUGCCCAUCAGGCCUUUGCAGCUUUAUGCUGAUGGGGGUCACCAGCUGAGAAUUAGGCGUCUUGAGGGUACCCCUAAUUAUGGUCCCCGACAGUAGCCCCCGAGCCUCGAAGGGAGUGUUAGCACUCGCUUGGAGGCUUUUGUCGCACUUUUUCGCAAGGGGACCAGCCUUUCUCGGUUGCAUUUCGUUCCGGUGGGUGCGCGCGAGCGCACCCGCCGGGUGUAGCCCCCGAGGCCUCGGAGGAGUGGUUACACUCCUUCGAGGUCUUAAUACUUUGGUUGGUCUGGUCGUUCCCUCAUGCGAACUGGCCGUAGCCCGGGUGCACGGUCGGGGCCCAAGCUCUCGGGCUGGUAUGUUGACGCUGUCAACGAUUUGGCCGGAGCCGGUUUUUGCGAGAGCAGCCCCCGAGCCUCUGCACAGGGCGAGAGGACGAUCAGGGACAGACUCGGCUUUUUACAUACGCCCCUACGUCGCCUUUCCGCAAGGAGGAGGGGGGGAGUGCGCCAUGUUACCCUCGAUGGGCACCGAACAUGGUGUCUCUGGUGAGCUGCAAGCGGGUAAUCCGAGUGGACGUCCGUGCCCCGUUCGUUGGGGGUCGGCUAGGGGCCCAGAGGCACGCCCAAAAGUACCUGCGGGUGAUUUGCCGGACCCGGUCCCCUGGCGACGGGGUCCGAGGGCUCGAUGCCUCCCUCCGAUGGGAUUCCGUUACAAGAUCGUUCCCACUGGUCUCGGAAAUGUCCUAGGGUACCUCGGGAGCGCAGCCCGAGCCUCGGUUAUGUAUCGAACGUACCCCUGGUCAUCCCUCGCUCGGUGUCUGAGGCGACUGUGAACCCUUCGGGGGCCAGCCUUCGAACCCCUGAUCAGUAAUGGGCGCGGAGCCCGAGUAGCCUGAGGCGGCCAUGAAGCCCUUCGGGGGGCUGGCCUUCGAACCCCUGACCAGUAGUGGGUGUCGGGCCCACGCGAUCUGAGGCGACUGUUGAACCCUCGGGGGGCCAGCCUUCGAACCCCUGAUCAGUAAUGGGGGGCUCGGAGCCCGGUUCCUUCGCGGAGAAGGAUCCCUUUCGGGGUAUCCCCCUUUCCCGGUCCCUGUUGCAAGAGAUAGAGAAAGAGGAAAACAGAAAAGGAUACGAAUUCGGACGACGUGGCGUACCUUUUCUGAAGCGGUUAUUACGGCGAAGGUGAAGCGUCGCGCGCUCCUCCUGCCAGAAGCACCGCGUGUCUCGCCGCGGAGUUAAUGCGACGGGGUGAGUGGUUGGCGGGGCGGCCGUUGCGCGCGUGCGAUCCGUUCGAGGAAUGGGUCACGGGUGCACCGUCUUCACGCCGUGAGAGGAGGCUCCCUUGCUGUCUCAGGAUGGGACGUGAGCCUGGCUGACGACGUGACUGCUGUGCCCGCCCGCCUGCCACCGCUAUUACUGCUGGCCCACUUUCGGUCGCUUUGACCGACGCGCCAGUCUGGCGCUGUUGGGUCGCCUCGAGUCGUGGCACAGGCUUCGCAACCGAAGAGGCGCGAUGGUGGCACAAGUGGCGGCGCGGUUGCUUGCAUGCAGCAACUGGCGCGCCGGUUGCUCGACGCGUGGGCCUGGGUUCCAGGCUGGCGUGUCAGAAGUCGGAGAAGCGCGUCCAUCUGGCGCGGUUGCAUGCCGCCUGCAUGGCUGCCCGCCCCUUCUGCCCGUUGGUCUGGGCGAAAAUGGGGGGUCGCCUGUAACCGCUGGACGGUCGUGCGCACCAUGCGCGGCGGUUUGGCUUCUUCUGCCCUGAGCCGGCUUGCAUGACAUGCGGGACCCAGCCCCCGAGUCGCAGGGGAGGGCCUUGGAGCGUGUUGGAGAAGACUCGGUCCGCGGCGCUUGGGGGCGCACGUAGGGGGAGUUGCCUUUAAAAGGAGGGAGGCUCCCUUCGUAAGGCAACCAUGCCUUCUUCCUCCCUUAAGCGUCGGGUCUUCCCGUCUUCCAAGCCCCCGGAUGGGGGGUAUCCGCCGCCUUUCCACCUCCUCGUUGGAGGAACGCAACUCCAUGGGAGUUGGUACCUCUCAGCCAUCGUUCGGCUUCAAGGAUUUUCAUCACGCAGCCCGGUCGCACCCCUUCACCGGCGGUCACCCGAGAUGGCGACCUCCAGCUUGAUGGUGGGGGAAAGCGAGCCGGGCUGCGGCCUCUGCCCCUUCCUCAGCCUCAAGGAUUUUCAUCACCAAGGCCGGGGAGGGGAGAGUGCCGAGUUGGGGUCGGCCCCUGCGUGGGCGGUGGCCCGCUCCUUCACUCAGUGAUGGGGGGAGAAGCGGGCAUUGCCCGUGGCGUCCGGCAGCUGCAGCGUGCCUGGUCUUCAGCCGCGAGUGGCUUCGGGGCCACUUGCGGCGUCGGCGUCUGCCACGGCAGCCGGAAGAGGUUCUUCCACCGGCGCGGCGGCCGGGACCGGCCACGGGCUGACCUCCAACUUCUACGGCCUUCUGCCCGUCCUUGCCUCACGAGUUUUGGCACGGGCGGGGGCCUCCUGGCAGCGGCAUCCACCCUGAGGUCAGCGUUGCCGCUGUUCGGCCCCCCGGAGCAGAAGUCGCCGUCGUCGCCACUGCUGGAGUAGGUGAUGGCGCGCCGUUCGUUGGCCUUCCGUUGCUCCGCAGGCCUUCCCCCUCGGAGUGGGGUUGUUCGUACCUGCGGAGGGGGAACCGGAGUUCCGUUUGUAAUGGCACUUCGAAUGCCAGUGAGUUCGUUCAUUGUGGCUGUCGAGGCCUGAACGUGUAUGUAAUUUUGGCACGGAGCCGUGUUUUUUCCUCAUUUUCGAGCACUAGGUCUCGCCUGUUUGAUUAUCUGAACCGCUUUACCAAGCAUGAGUUGCCCCGUGUCAAGGUGACGGGUGAGGUAUCCGUAUCCCGGAGGCGUAGGAAUCCCUCGGCCCGUUCGGCCUUGUUAUGUGAGGCUCCUCUAGCUUAGUUGAAGAGACCCCUCGGUCGCCCUUCGGUGGAUCGAGGCCGGGGGUUGCGAUAUCAGUAUGAACAGAGACGGAGUUGGCUCGAGAAUGGGGAACCUGGUUGGCCGGAGCCUAGCCGUGUCGUCCGUCAGCGGGGCCGACGCCAAAGUCGGUCAGUCGAGGCCUCGGAUCGGGCUGGCGCCCUUGGGAGCCGGUUGACCGAGGCCCCAGGGGUAACCGGUUGAGCCGCCUGCUCGGGCCGGAUUCCCGGAGGAGCCCCUGGACCGCGGCGCCGCCCGAGGCUGGGUCGGGCUUUGCUGAAGGCGUCGUCGAUGCCGAGGGUGCUACAGCUCCCUUCGGCGUGAAGACCCGAGCCUGCAGGAUCCGAUCAUCUUGUAGCGUGUGCUUCCUGCGGCCGCCGAGGCCAGAAGAAAACACCCUCGCUGCACUUGCGAAGCUGCGCCUUUUUUCCUCCUGUUUCGAGCAUCUGGACUUCGUCGGUAACAGGGAUGUUUGUGUGAGCAAGAGCUGCUUUUCGCGGAAGGGACGAGUGAGGUAUCCGUAUCCCAGAGGCGUGGGAAUCCCUCGGCUCGGUCGGCCUUGCCGCUUACGCGUACUUUCACCCGUCCAUGAGGCCCUGUCCCCGACUUAGUCGAGAAAGCUUGAAGGACUGCUUCGGCAGGAGAGCUUCCGAACGUGAUGACUCGUUCGGUCCACGGAGUCGCUUUAUCCGAGCGCAAGUUACUUAUCGCAGAAGGGGACGAGUGAGGUAUCCGUAUCCCGGAGGCGUAGGAGUCCCUCGGCUCGGCCAGCCUUGGCUGCUUACGUGUACCUCGUCGUUUCCAGGAUCCGCUUUCCGAAGUAGUCAAGAAGCACGAAAGAAAUCCUGCUAAAAAGAGAUCCUUUUUCGAGGAAAAAUUCGACGCAGAGGGGGUCUCCCCCCUUUUAGCCCCCGAGGGAGGGUCGGGUUUUGCCGAGGCUAGGCCGACCCUUCCUUGACAACUAAACUUUGCGUAGGUGUGAGGUAUAUGAACAACUUGAAAACAUCUUAAGGAUAGAAGCGACGUAGCUGUUUGAUGUUCCAAGCGUUGCCGUAGAUCUCGCCUUGAUUGCUGGCCAGCUUGUAUGUUCCGGGCUUCAGAACUUUGGCGAUGACGAAUGGCCCUUCCCAGGGGGGCGUGAGCUUGUGCCUCCCUCGGGCGUCUUGUCGCAGCCGAAGCACCAGGUCGCCCACCUGGAGUUCUCGGAACCGGACCCCUCGGGCGUGGUAGCGUCGCAGGGACUGUUGGUACCGCGCCGAGUGUAGUAAGGCCCUGUCCCGAGCUUCCUCCAACUGGUCCAGCGAUUCCUCUCGGCUGGCUUGGUUGCUUUGUUCGGUGUAGGCCCUCGCCCUUGGGGAGCCGUAUUCCAGGUCAGUGGGCAAGAUAGCUUCAGCCCCGUAGACCAGGAAAAACGGCGUGAAGCCCGUGGCACGACUCGGCGUCGUCCUUAGGCUCCAGACCACCGAGGGGAGUUCCUUCAUCCAUCGCCUGCCGAACUUGUUGAGGUCGUUGUAGAUCCGAGGCUUGAGCCCUUGUAGAAUCAUGCCGUUGGCACGCUCUACCUGCCCAUUCGACAUGGGAUGAGCCACGGCGGCCCAGUCCACCCGGAUAUGGUGAUCUUCGCAAAAAUCCAAGAAUUUUUUGCCGGUGAACUGGGUGCCGUUGUCGGUGAUGAUGGAGUUCGGGACCCCGAAGCGAUGGAUGAUGUUGGUGAAGAAUGCCACCGCCUGCUCGGACCUGAUGCUGUUCAGGGGUCGGACCUCGAUCCACUUGGAGAAUUUGUCGAUGGCGACCAGCAGGUGCGUGUAGCCCCCGGGCGCCUUCUGCAAGGGACCGACGAGGUCCAGACCCCAUACAGCGAAGGGCCAGGUGAUGGGUAUUGUCUGCAGAGCCUGAGCGGGCAGGUGUGUCCGCUUCGCAUAGAAUUGGCACCCUUUGCAGGUGCGGACAAUUCUAGUGGCGUCAGCCACCGCCGUUGGCCAGUAGAAGCCUUGCCGGAAGGCAUUUCCAACAAGGGCUCGGGGUGCUGCGUGGUGGCCGCAAGCCCCCGAGUGUACUUCUUGCAGCAGUUCCCGACCUUCGGCGAUGGGGAUGCAUCGCUGGAGGAUGCCCGAGGGGCUGCGAUGGUAGAGUUCCUCUUCGUCGCCCAGCAAGACGAAUGACUUGGCGCGUCGCGCUACCCGCCGAGCCUCGACUUGGUCGAGGGGUAGCUCUCCUCGACGGAGAUAUUGCAGGUAUGGGGCCUGCCAAUCUUGGUCUGGCGUGGCCCCGCUCUGCCCUUCCUCAACGUUCAACGCCCCGCCCUCGGGGGCCGAGGGUACCUCGGGCUGAGCCGAGGGUACCUUGGGCUGAGCCGAGGGUACCUCGGGCUGAGCCGAGGGUACCUCAGGCUCGGGCGCGUCGUCGAGCUUGACGGAGGGUUGAUGCAGAUCCCGGGAGAAGACGUCCGGGGGGACUGUCGUUCGCCCCGAGGCUAUCUUGGCCAGCUCGUCUGCGGUUUCGUUGUAGCGCCGAGCGAUGUGGUUGAGCUCGAGCCCGAAGAACUUGUCUUCCAGGCGCCGAACCUCGUCGCAGUAGGCCUCCAUCUUCGGGUCGCGGCAGUGGGAGUUCUUCAUGACUUGGUCGAUGAUGAGCCGCGAAUCACCGCGGGCGUGGAGGCGUCUGACCCCUAGCUCGAUGGCGAUCCGCAAUCCGUUGACCAGAGCUUCGUACUCGGCCACACUGUUGGACGCCGGGAAGUGGAGGCGCAACACGUAGCGCAAGUGCUUUCUGAGGGGCGAGAUGAAGAGAAGGCCCGCACCGGCCCCCGUCUUCAUCAGCGACCCGUCGAAAAACAUGGUCCAGAGCUCCGGUUGGAUCGGAGUCGUUGGUAGUUGGGUGUCGACCCAUUCAGCCACGAAAUCCGCCAACACUUGGGACUUGAUGGCCUUCCGAGGGGCGAACGAGAUCGUUUCGCCCAUGAUCUCCACUGCCCACUUUGCGAUCCUGCCCGAGGCCUCUCGGCACUGGAUGAUCUCCCCCAGGGGGAAGGAUGACACCACAGUUACCGGAUGGGACUCGAAGUAGUGUCGUAGCUUCCGCCUCGUCAGGAUCACAGCAUACAGCAGCUUUUGAACUUGUGGGUAGCGGAUCUUAGUCUCGGACAGCACUUCGCUGAUGAAGUAGACCGGCCUCUGAACGGGCAAUGUAUGCCCUUCCUCCUGCCUUUCGACCACAAUCGCGGCGCUAACCACCUGAGUGGUCGCGGCGACGUAGACCAAGAGGGUUUCUCCGUCCGCCGGCGGCACCAAGACUGGCGCCUUUGUAAGGAGCGCCUUCAGGUUGCCGAGGGCUUCCUCGGCCUCAGGGGUCCAAACGAAACACUCGGCCUUCCUUAAGAGGCGGUACAGAGGCAGACCUCUUUCGCCGAGGCGUGAGAUGAAGCGGCUCAGGGCCGCGAGGCAUCCCAUGACCCUCUGUACCCCUUUUAAGUCGUUGAUGGGCCCCAUGCUGGUGAUGGCCGCAAUCUUCUCCGGGUUGGCCUCGAUGCCUCGCUCAGAGACGAUGAACCCUAGGAGCAUGCCUCGGGGCACCCCGAAGACACACUUCUCAGGAUUAAGCUUGACUCCUUUCGCCUUGAGACACCGGAAUGUCACUUCAAGGUCGGAGAGGAGGUUGGGAGCCUUCCGUGUCUUGACCACGAUGUCAUCGACGUAGGCCUCGACUGUGCGACCGAUGUGUUCGCCGAACACAUGGUUCAUGCACCGCUGGUACGUCGCGCCUGCAUUCCUCAGGCCGAACGGCAUGGUGACGUAGCAGUACAUGCCGAACGGCGUGAUGAAAGAAGUCGCGAGCUGGUCGGACUCUUUCAUCCGGAUCUGGUGAUACCCCGAGUAGGCAUCGAGGAAGGACAGGGUUUCGCACCCAGCAGUGGAAUCCACGAUUUGGUCGAUGCGAGGCAGAGGGUAGGGAACCUUCGGACAUGCUUUGUUGAGACCAGUGUAGUCUACACACAUCCGCCAUUUCCCCCCUUUCUUCCUCACAAGCACAGGGUUGGCAAGCCAUUCGGGAUGGAAUACCUCUUUGAUGAACCCUGCCGCCAUUAGCUUGUGGAUCUCUUCGCCAAUCGCUCUGCGCUUCUCCUCGUCGAAUCGGCGCAGAGGCUGCCUGACGGGUCGGGCUCCGGCCCGAAUAUCCAGCGAGUGCUCGGCGACAUCCCUCGGUAUGCCGGGCAUGUCCGAGGGACUCCACGCAAAGACGUCGGCGUUUGCGCGGAGAAAGUCGACGAGCACUGCUUCCUAUUUGGGGUCGAGCCCGGAACCGAUCCGGAUCUGCUUGGUGGUGUCGCCGCUGGGGUCGAGGGGGACGGCCUUGACCGUCUCCGCUGGCUCGAAGUUGCCGGCAUGGCGCUUCACGUUUGGGACCUCCUUGGAGAGGUUCUCCAGGUCGGCGAUGAGGGCCUCGGACUCGGCGAGGGCCUCGGCGUACUCCACGCACUCCACGUCGCAUUCGAACGCGUGUUUGUACGUGGGGCUGACGGUGAUGACCCCGUUGGGGCCCGGCAUCUUGAGCUUCAGGUAGGUGUAGUUGGGGACGGCCAUGAACUUCGCGUAGCAUGGCCUCCCUAGCACGGCGUGGUAGGUUCCUCGGAACCCGACCACUUCGAACGUCAGGGUCUCCCUUCGGAAGUUGGAGGGUGUCCCGAAGCAGACUGGGAGGUCGAGUCGCCCGAGGGGCUGGACGCGCUUCCCAGGGAUGAUCCCGUGGAAGGGCGCAACGCCUGCUCGGACGGAGGACGGAUCGACGCGCAGAAGCUUGAGGGUCUCGGCGUAGAUGAUGUUGAGGCAGCUGCCCCCGUCCAUCAGGACCUUGGUGAGCCUGACAUCGCCGACAACGGGGUCGACGACGAGCGGGUAUUUCCCCGGGCUCGGCACAUGGUCGGGGUGGUCGGCCCGGUCGAAAGUGAUGGGCUUGUCGGACCAGUCUAGGUAGACUGGCGCCGCCACCUUCACCGAGCAGACCUCCCGGCGCUCUUGCUUGCGGUGCCGAGCCGAGGUAUUCGCCGCAUGCCCUCCAUAGAUCAUGAAGCAGUCGCGGACCUCGGGGAACCCCCCUGCUGGGUGUUCUUCGUUCUUGUCGUCGUCGUGGGCCCUGCCACCCUCGGCGGGUGGCCCGGCCCUGUGGAAAUGACGCCGAAGCAUAACGCACUCCUCGAGGGUGUGCUUGACGGGCCCCUGAUGGUAGGGGCACGGCUCCUUGAGCAUCUUGUCGAAGAGGUUUGCACCUCCGGGGGGCUUCCGAGGGUUCUUAUACUCGGCGGCGGCGACAAGGUCCGCGUCUGCGGCGUCGCGUUUCGAUUGCGACUUCUUCUUGCCUUUCUUCUUGGCGCCGCGCGGAGCAGACGCCUCGGGAGCUUCUUCCGACGGGCGGCCCUGGGGCUGCUUGUCCUUUCGGAAGAUAGCCUCGACCGCCUCCUGGCCGGAGGCGAACUUGGUGGCGAUGUCCAUCAGCUCGCUCGCCCUGGUGGGGGUUUUGCGACCCAGCUUGCUCACCAGGUCGCGGCAAGUGGUGCCGGCGAGGAACGCGCCGAUGACAUCCGAGUCGGUGAUGUUGGGCAGCUCGGUGCGCUGCUUCGAGAAUCGCCGGAUGUAGUCCCGGAGCGACUCCCCCGGCUGUUGCCGGCAGCUUCGAAGGUCCCAGGAGUUCCCGGGGCGCACGUAUGUGCCCUGGAAAUUGCCAGCGAAGGCUUGGACCAAGUCGUCCCAGUUGGAAAUCUGCCCCGGAGGCAGGUGCUCCAACCAGGCGCGAGCAGUGUCGGAGAGGAACAGGGGGAGGUUGCGGAUGACAAGGUUGUCGUCGUCCGUUCCGCCCAGUUGGCAGGCAAGGCGGUAGUCCGCGAGCCACAGUUCCGGUCUCGUUUCCCCCGAGUACUUUGUGAUAGUAGUCGGGGGCCGGAACCGGGUCGGGAAUGGCGCCCGUCGGAUGGCCCGACUGAAGGCCUGCGGACCGGGUGGUUCGGGCGAAGGACUCCGAUCCUCCCCGCUGUCGUAGCGCCCCCCACGCCUGGGGUGGUAGCCUCGGCGCACCCUUUCGUCGAGGUGAGCCCGACGGUCGCGUCGAUGGUGUUCGUUGCCGAGGUGGCCCGGGGCCGCAGGCGCGGUGUUGCGCGUGCGCCCGGUGUAGACCGAGGCCUCCCGCAUGAAUCGGGAAGUCGCGGCAUGAGGUUCCGAGGGAUAUCCUUGCCUCUGGGAUGCAGUGCUCUCGGCCCGCCGGGCCGCUGCGCCUUCCAGGAGAUUCUUGAGUUCUCCCUGGAUUCGCCGCCCCUCGGUGGUUGACGGCUCCGGCAUCGCGCGGAUGAGCAUCGCUGCGGUCGCCAGGUUCUGACCGACCCCGCUGGAUGCGGGCGGCGGCCUGAUCCUGACGUCGUUGGCGACACGGUGCUGGAGACCUUGGGGCAGAUGACGUAUUUCUCCGGCCAGGGGUUGGCCCACCCAUGCCUGUCCGGCGUCCCGACGGAUCGGCUCAAGCGCCCCUGUUCCCUCGUUGAGCCUGGCCUGCGCCUCGCGGACUUGCUCGAGUUGUGGGUCGUAACCCCCCGCCGGAGCGGGGACCACAGCUAGCUCCCGUGGGAUGUCGGCGCGAGGCACCGGCCUAGGGAGAUCACCAUCCUCCGGCAUGCCAAGAUGGUUGCCUUCGGUGGGAUCCCCUAGCUCGAUGUGGAAACAUUCGCGGCUUGGGCCGCAGCUCUCGUUACCGAGGCUGCGGCUUCCGUCGGAACGGUCGGAUAGACAGUAGUCACAUGCGGUCAUGAAGUCCCACAUGGCACUGGGGUUGCCAUGUCCGGAGAAAUCCCAGCCGAUGCUGGGAUCGUCAUCUUCCUCGGACCCGGAGGGCCCGUAGGUCGAGACGUCCGUCAGUCGGUCCCAAGGCGACCGCAUACAGAACCUCAGUGGGGUUGCACUCGCCUCAAUGAGAGCGCCCGCCAAAACGAGGUCGUUUGGCGGGUUGAGGCCGAGUCGAAAUGACGCAAGAUGGGAGUUAGUCGUUACCUUUUGGUCGACGUGGAGCGACGUAGUCACAUCGGGGACUGGUUGCGCCGUCAUCUCUGGUUCGAGGGCGACGUCCUGCAGGCUUUCCGCGAGCGCGCCGGCGUCGUCUUCUUGCUCGGGGUCAGCGUGCCGCGGGGGGACGGCGCUUGCCUCCGUCUCGAACGCGAGGUCGACGUCCGGCGUGCCUUCCGUCGGGGCGUCGGGGGCGUCGAUUCGCUCGACGGCCGGCGAAGCGUGGCCUCCCGUCUGGCCUUGACGGCCCCGCCUCCUCCUCCGUUGGCGGGGGAGAGAACGGAGCGAGCCCGAAUGUUGCUCUUCCACCACGCGGGGUAGACGUCGUCGAUUCCGCCGCCGGCGGGCGGGUUGUCGGCCGCCAUUGUCGUAGUCGCGCGGCGGUGGAAGAAGUGUCAUGUCGUAGCUGCCGUCGAAGGACAUGAACUCAAGAGUCCCGAAACGAAGCACCGUCCCGGGCCGGAGAGGUUGCUGGAGACUGCCCAUCUGGAGCUUGACGGGGAGCUGUUCGUCAGCACGCAGCAGGCCCCUACCUGGCGCGCCAACUGUCGGCGUUUCGAGACAGGGGGGUCCCUAAGCCGACGAGUGAGUGUGCUGCGUGCCCCAGCCCAGAUGGGUCGAGCGCGUGGGCGAGCGCGGAGGGGGGAGAGGCGAGGCGGCCGGAGCCGAGCGUGAGAGAGGUGGAAGUCCCGCGGCCUUCGUGUUCGUCCCGCGCCCAGGUCAGGUGCGCUUGCAGUAGGGGGGUUACAAGCGUCCACGCGGGUGAGGGAAGCGAGCGGCCCCAAGAGAGCGCCUGUCCCGUCCUCGGUCCCGCGCGGCCAACCUUUUCUGAGAAGGCCCCGGUCCUUCCUUUUAUAGUCGUAAGGAGAGGAACCAGGUGUACAAUGGGGAUGUAGCAGAGUGCUACGUGUCUAGCGGAGGGAGAGCUAGCGCCCUAGGUACAUGCCAAUGUGGCAGCCGGAGAGAUCUGGGCACCCUGCUGGCGUGAUGUCGUGGCUGUUGGAGGUGCGGCGGAGCCUGAUGGAGGGACAACUGUUGGAGCGGUCGAGUCCCUGCUGACGUUGUCCUGCUUCCGUAAGAGAGCUAGGGGCCGCCGUCGUCAUAGAGCUUGUGGAGCGCCAUCAUUGCCUCUCUGGCGGAGCUGGCCGGAUGAGACGCCGGUCUUGUUCUCCGUGACCCGAGUCGAUUCGGGGUGGGAUGAUGAUGGCGCCUCCUGUUGAUGUGGCGGUCUGUGCCCUAGGCAGGGCGACGUGGGGUUUCCUCCGAAGCCGAGGUUGAGUCUGCCUUCCGUUGCCGUGGCCGAGCCCGAGCCAAGGGGUCGGUCGAGGCGGAAGUCGUUCGGCCGAGGCCAGGGCGGAGUCCGAGCCCUGGGGUCGGGCGAGGCGGAGUUUCGUCGUCUUCCGGGUCUUAGCCCGAGUCCGAGCCCUGGGGUCGGGCGGAGCGGAGUUCGCCGUCUUCCGGGUCUUAGCCCGAGUCCGAGCCCUGGGGUCGGCGGAGCGGAGUUCGCCGUCUUCCGGGUCUUAGCCCGAGUCCGAGCCCUGGGGUCGGGUGGAGCGGAGUUCGCCGUCUUCCGGGUCUUAGCCCGAGUCCGAGCCCUGGGGUCGGGCGGAGCGGAGUUCGCCGUCUUCCGGGUCUUAGCCCGAGUCCGAGCCCUGGGGUCGGGCGGAGCAGAGUUCGCCGUGGCGCCUUUGGCGAGGCCUGACUGCCUGUCAGACUUACUCUGCCGAGUGGCGCUGCAGUCGGAGUGGCGCAGGCGGCGCUGUCCUUCUGUCAGACUGGCCAGUGGAGCGGUGGAGUGACGGCGGUCACCUCGGCUCUGCCGGAGGCGCGUGUCAGGAUAGAGGUGUCAGGCCUCCUGUGCGUUAAAUGCCCCUGCAAUUUGGUCAGUCGGUGUGGUGAUUUAGUCAAGGUUGCUUCUGAGCGAAGCCAAGGCCUUGGGCGAGCCGGUGAUGUGUCCGCCAUAAAAAGGGGGCCUCGGGCGAGACGGAAGUCUCUCGAGGUCGGCUGCCUUCGGCCGAGGCUAGGCUCAGGUGAAGCGUGAUCGAGUCACUCGUGUGGACUGAUCCCUGACUUAAUCAUGCCCAUCAGGCCUUUGCAGCUUUAUGCUGAUGGGGGUCACCAGCUGAGAAUUAGGCGUCUUGAGGGUACCCCUAAUUAUGGUCCCCGACAGUUAUGCUUUAGCUUAAGGCUUAUGUUUAGUUAUGAUUUCCAAAUAUUUGAAUUAGGUCCCCCUAGCUCGAGGAUCAUGAUUGUUGUUAAUUCAAAGGUAGCUAGUGUUUGCCUAGGAGUUGUAAUGCCUUACUAGCAAUAUAUUACCCUCUUCGGCAUAAUGUUAUUAUCUUGUAUUGUUUAUAAUUAUUCGCACUCGUAUGCAUUAUGCAUAUCAAUCAGGUACGUUAAUUGAUCGCACGAUGUGGAGGAAAAGUGUUGGAUGAACCUCAAAGUGAUGCUGACGAAUAAACCAGAGGAAUGGAUGAUCUGAUCAAGCGCCAGGAUGUGAGAUGAUCGCCACGUGGACGUCAUCUAACAACACUAACGUAGUGUUAUCCCAGGCAAGCCCCGGUGCAUUUGCCACCCCCUUGUUGUUAUAAAACUUUUAUCACUUAUAUGUUGCAUUAGGUGAUAGGAGUUGUGUGAAUAAACAAUUGAUGCAUUACCAUUCCUUGGAAUUUGAUUACUAUUCCUUGAUUCCUGUUUAUAAAAGAGAACUAAAGAUGCUUAGUCCUGCUUAGAUAAUUAAAAGUUGUUCUUUUUUAAAAAAGAUAAUGUGUUACACGGGAUAUGGGAAAUUGUUGUGAAAAAGAAAUUGGGAUGGUGAAUCCAUAUGGCCAUGAUGGAUUCAACAUCCAGAAAAAGUACCUCUGUCAGGUACCAAGGAUUGGGAAAUGGUUUAACUAAAAUGAGACCAGACGUUGAGCAGGAAAGGUCGCCCGUCUGUGUCGAUUAAGGACCGUUCCGAUUGUUGGCCUGCUGAUCUAGGACCCUUUAACUGGCCACAUGCCUCAUCAUGGGUAAGCUUAGCCUCGGUCGGACCAAUACCAGAACAGCUCGCACGCACUGGGAGUGGAGAGAUGGCGAGAGUAGCUUGUACCCUCCGUGGCAAGAGACUGGAAGGUGGGGUGCUGUACUCUCGGAAACAUGGCGGGUACCAUGGCGAGAGUAACGUGUACCAACCAGGCCAACGGCUGGAAGGUGGGGUGUUGUACUCUCGGAAACAUGGCGGGCACCAUGGUGAGAGUAACGUGUACCAACCAGGCCAAUGGCUGGACGGUGGAGUGCUGUGCUCUCGGGUCGCGUGAACCCGUUCUGGUCUUGAGAAACCCGGUGGCGAGUUGACAUAUGCAAGGGUUAAGUGCUACAUAUGUCGUGUGGUUGGAGAUCCUCAGCUGAGUAUUAAUCGAUUCGGAUCGCCGUUACUUCUCGGAUAUGAAGACUGGAUCACUGCCCUGCAUCGUAGAUAACAAGUGAAACUAAAGUUGCUAAAAGGAAGCUAGUGUAGGAUAAGUGAAUGCUCUAGAUUAGGCAAAUCUAGAUUCAGGAAAAGUACUUAAUCUGUGAAGUAAAAGUUUGGCAUAAGGAUCCACUACUAGUAAGCUUUUCUGCAAAAACGAGUCUUUGAAAUUUGAUGAACUUUACCUUGAUUCCCAACAAACCAGCAUACCCUUGAGAGUCUUUUCUUUAGUCGGGUAAGUCUUGCUGAGUAAUUCCAUACUCAGGGUUUUAUUCCCUGUUGUUUUUCAGGUUAUAAUUUUGUUCUGUUGUGGAUGGUGCUAAGUGCCGGUGGGCUCGGUCUUCUUAUAUAAGUAUAUCCCAUCUUUAGCUUCUCUAUCGAGGAUUGUCUCUUAAGCUAGCAUGUAUCUUCAAAUUUACAAAUAUUUUAUAACAUUUCAAAUUUGUAAUUCUUUUGAAUCAUUUUCUCUUGUAAUCACUCCGAUAAUUGUAUAAUGUAAAAUUAUUGUAACAUGUAAUCAUUUUGUAAUAAAGAAUUUAUUUCCGCUG